AGAGUUUGAUCCUGGCUCAGAUUGAACGCUGGCGGCAGGCUUAACACAUGCAAGUCGAGCGGGGGAAGUUGCUUCGGUAACUGACCUAGCGGCGGACGGGUGAGUAAUGCUUAGGAAUCUGCCUAUUAGUGGGGGACAACAUCUCGAAAGGGAUGCUAAUACCGCAUACGUCCUACGGGAGAAAGCAGGGGACCUUCGGGCCUUGCGCUAAUAGAUGAGCCUAAGUCGGAUUAGCUAGUUGGUGGGGUAAAGGCCUACCAAGGCGACGAUCUGUAGCGGGUCUGAGAGGAUGAUCCGCCACACUGGGACUGAGACACGGCCCAGACUCCUACGGGAGGCAGCAGUGGGGAAUAUUGGACAAUGGGGGGAACCCUGAUCCAGCCAUGCCGCGUGUGUGAAGAAGGCCUUUUGGUUGUAAAGCACUUUAAGCGAGGAGGAGGCUACCGAGAUUAAUACUCUUGGAUAGUGGACGUUACUCGCAGAAUAAGCACCGGCUAACUCUGUGCCAGCAGCCGCGGUAAUACAGAGGGUGCAAGCGUUAAUCGGAUUUACUGGGCGUAAAGCGCGCGUAGGUGGCCAAUUAAGUCAAAUGUGAAAUCCCCGAGCUUAACUUGGGAAUUGCAUUCGAUACUGGUUGGCUAGAGUAUGGGAGAGGAUGGUAGAAUUCCAGGUGUAGCGGUGAAAUGCGUAGAGAUCUGGAGGAAUACCGAUGGCGAAGGCAGCCAUCUGGCCUAAUACUGACACUGAGGUGCGAAAGCAUGGGGAGCAAACAGGAUUAGAUACCCUGGUAGUCCAUGCCGUAAACGAUGUCUACUAGCCGUUGGGGCCUUUGAGGCUUUAGUGGCGCAGCUAACGCGAUAAGUAGACCGCCUGGGGAGUACGGUCGCAAGACUAAAACUCAAAGGAAUUGA
rnacentral:rRNA from 1 species